rnacentral:rRNA from 1 species
GACGUAGGGCGCGAGCGUUGUCCGGAUUUAUUGGGCGUAAAGAGCUCGUAGGCGGCUUGUCGCGUCGACUGUGAAAUCCCGCGGCUCAACCGCGGGUCUGCAGUCGAUACGGGCAGGCUAGAGUUCGGUAGGGGAGACUGGAAUUCCUGGUGUAGCGGUGAAAUGCGCAGAUAUCAGGAGGAACACCGAUGGCGAAGGCAGGUCUCUGGGCCGCAACUGACGCUGAGGAGCGAAAGCAUGGGGAGCGAACAGG